AACGAACGCUGGCGGCAGGCUUAACACAUGCAAGUCGAACGGAUGUAGCAAUACAUCAGUGGCAGACGGGCGAGUAACACGUGGGAAACUUCCUCGUUGUACGGAACAACUCAGGGAAACUUGAGCUAAUACCGUAUACGUCCGAGAGGAGAAUGAUUGAUCGCAAUAAGACGGGCCCGCGUCGGAUUAGCUAGUUGGUGGGGUAACGGCCUAACAAGGCGACGAACCGUAGCUGAGCUGAGAGGAUGUUCAGCCACACUGGGACUGAGACACGGCCCAGACUCCUACGGGAGGCAGCAGUGGGGAAGCGUGGACAAUGGGCGCAAGCCUGAUUCAGCCAUGCCGCGUGAGUGAAGAAGGCCUUAGGGUUGUAAAGAUCUUUUGCCAGGGACGAUAAUGACGGUACCUGGAGAAUAAGCCCCGGCAAACUUCGUGCCAGCCGCCGCUGUAA
rnacentral:rRNA from 1 species